GUCGGACUGGCAGACGCUCGAGCGCCCCGCGCUCGCGACGCCGGUGCCGGUCGCGCCAGCCGACGGCGCCGAGGUCCGGUACCCCGAGCCGGCG
rnacentral:tRNA from 1 species